rnacentral:rRNA from 1 species
AGAGUUUGAUCCUGGCUCAGGAUGAACGCUAGCGACAGGCUUAACACAUGCAAGUCGAGGGGCAGCGGGGGUAGCAAUACCCGCCGGCGACCGGCGCACGGGUGAGUAACGCGUAUGCAACUUACCUAUCAGAGGGGGAUAACCCGGCGAAAGUCGGACUAAUACCGCAUGAAGCAGGGAUCCCGCAUGGGAAUAUUUGCUAAAGAUUCAUCGCUGAUAGAUAGGCAUGCGUUCCAUUAGGCAGUUGGCGGGGUAACGGCCCACCAAACCGACGAUGGAUAGGGGUUCUGAGAGGAAGGUCCCCCACAUUGGUACUGAGACACGGACCAAACUCCUACGGGAGGCAGCAGUGAGGAAUAUUGGUCAAUGGCCGAGAGGCUGAACCAGCCAAGUCGCGUGAGGGAUGAAGGUUCUAUGGAUCGUAAACCUCUUUUAUAAGGGAAUAAAGUGCGGGACGUGUCCCGUUUUGUAUGUACCUUAUGAAUAAGGAUCGGCUAACUCCGUGCCAGCAGCCGCGGUAAUACGGAGGAUCCGAGCGUUAUCCGGAUUUAUUGGGUUUAAAGGGUGCGUAGGCGGCCUUUUAAGUCAGCGGUGAAAGUCUGUGGCUCAACCAUAGAAUUGCCGUUGAAACUGGGGGGCUUGAGUAUGUUUGAGGCAGGCGGAAUGCGUGGUGUAGCGGUGAAAUGCAUAGAUAUCACGCAGAACCCCGAUUGCGAAGGCAGCCUGCCAAGCCAUGACUGACGCUGAUGCACGAAAGCGUGGGGAUCAAACAGGAUUAGAUACCCUGGUAGUCCACGCAGUAAACGAUGAUCACUAGCUGUUUGCGAUACACUGUAAGCGGCACAGCGAAAGCGUUAAGUGAUCCACCUGGGGAGUACGCCGGCAACGGUGAAACUCAAAGGAAUUGACGGGGGCCCGCACAAGCGGAGGAACAUGUGGUUUAAUUCGAUGAUACGCGAGGAACCUUACCCGGGUUUGAACGUAGUCUGACCGGAGUGGAAACACUCUUUCUAGCAAUAGCAGAUUACGAGGUGCUGCAUGGUUGUCGUCAGCUCGUGCCGUGAGGUGUCGGCUUAAGUGCCAUAACGAGCGCAACCCUUAUCACUAGUUACUAACAGGUGAAGCUGAGGACUCUGGUGAGACUGCCAGCGUAAGCUGUGAGGAAGGUGGGGAUGACGUCAAAUCAGCACGGCCCUUACAUCCGGGGCGACACACGUGUUACAAUGGCAUGGACAAAGGGCAGCUACCUGGUGACAGGAUGCUAAUCUCCAAACCAUGUCUCAGUUCGGAUCGGAGUCUGCAACUCGACUCCGUGAAGCUGGAUUCGCUAGUAAUCGCGCAUCAGCCAUGGCGCGGUGAAUACGUUCCCGGGCCUUGUACAC